GGGUAGCUAUGUAGGGAAGGGAUAAACGCUGAAAGCAUCUAAGUGUGAAGCCCACCUCAAGAUGAGAUUUCCCAUGAUUUUAUAUCAGUAAGAGCCCUGAGAGAUGAUCAGGUUGAUAGGUUAGAAGUGGAAGUGUGGUGACACAUGUAGCGGACUAAUACUAAUAGCUCGAGGACUUAUCCAAC
rnacentral:rRNA from 1 species